rnacentral:lncRNA from 1 species
UAAGUGAACUAGCAUAAUAAUGCGUGUAUAUAUGUAGACACAAUUUGUUCAGUUCCCAGUUAUAAACUUUGAGGAAUACAAGGAGCACACUUACGAUACAGACUGCUCUAUCUGUACACAAUGUUUUGCAUAUUAGUUUCGAUAAUGAUCAUUGGAUCAGUUCAUGUUAUUAAAAGCACAGGAGAACAAGUUUCAUGUGGUUUUAAUGAAAUUGCAAGUGAAUAUUCGAAAUCUUGCAGAGAUAAGUCGUAUGUGCAGGACAUAUUCAAAGAAUUAGGCCGUGAUGGAGAAAUCAGACCAGCUGAGUUUCUUGAGCAACUAUCAUCGACUUGCAGUAAUUUUAUAUCUUACGUGAAAUGUGCUAUCAACACUCUUGAAAAUGUCUGUGAGGAUGAAAAAACGAGGUUUAAAGAAUUAAUCAAUGAAAGAUGGGCGCUUUUUUGCGACAAAGACAAACCAUCCGACUGGCUGAAGACAAUUUUACAGAACCAGUACAGCUACAGCAAUGAUUGUGGCCGUGUGUUUGAUAAUGCGUUCUUUGCUUGUGCACGACUGAGUAAAAUGGACAGGUGAUCCAAAUGCAGCUUCACUGACGGAUAUUUCUGAGGCGUACAGAAAACUUUAUUCAGGACAGUUCGAAUGUACCUCUAGUGAAAUAUCAAACCAAAUGGAUGAUAUGGCACAAUGUAGAUCUUCGAGGCAGAAUAUCUUACUUACUGGCUGGCUUAAAUUAUCCGCUCUAAGCAGUCUUGCAACUCAUAUCAACGAAAAUGAAGUUGAACAAUUGAAAGUGAUGUAAUACAAGUAAGAAGAUGAAUAAGUCCAUCUUCCAUCUUCAGCAUUUCUACUGAAGUACCAUCAUAAACCUUGUUUUGGACAGUCGAAUCACUUCACAUCAAAUUGCCAAAUAUUUCAGCGAUUAUAUCUGUCAUCCAUUUAAAGAUAA